GACGAACGCUGGCGGCGUGCCUAAUACAUGCAAGUCGAACGAGAGCGACCGGUGCUUGCACUGGUCAAUCUAGUGGCGAACGGGUGAGUAACACGUGGGUAACCUGCCCAUCAGAGGGGGAUAACAUUCGGAAACGGAUGCUAAAACCGCAUAGGUCUUCGAACCGCAUGGUUUGCAGAGGAAAAGAGGCGCAAGCUUCUGCUGAUGGAUGGACCCGCGGUGCAUUAGCUAGUUGGUGAGGUAACGGCUCACCAAGGCCGUGAUGCAUAGCCGACCUGAGAGGGGGAUCGGCCACAUUGGGACUGAGACACGGCAGACACUCCGACGGUGGGCAGCAGUAGGGAAUCUUCCGGAAGGGAGGCAAGUCUGACGGAGCAACGCCGCGUGAGUGAAGAAGGUUUUAGGAUCGUAAAACUAUGUUGUUAGAGAAGAACAAGUGCUAGAGUACCUGUUAGCGCCUUGACGGUAUCUAACGAGAAAGCCACGGCUAACUACGUG
rnacentral:rRNA from 1 species